AAUACUUAGGAAUCUACCUAUUAAUGGGGGACAACAUUUCGAAAGGAAUGCUAAUACCGCAUACGCCCUACGGGGGAAAGCAGGGGAUCUUCGGACCUUGCGUUAAUAGAUGAGCCUAAGUCGGAUUAGCUAGUUGGUGGGGUAAAGGCCUACCAAGGCGACGAUCUGUAGCGGGUCUGAGAGGAUGAUCCGCCACACUGGGACUGAGACACGGCCCAGACUCCUACGGGAGGCAGCAGUGGGGAAUAUUGGACAAUGGGCGAAAGCCUGAUCCAGCCAUGCCGCGUGUGUGAAGAAGGCCUUUUGGUUGUAAAGCACUUUAAGCGAGGAGGAGGCUACCGAGAUUAAUACUCUUGGAUAGUGGACGUUACUCGCAGAAUAAGCACCGGCUAACUCUGUGCCAGCAGCCGCGGUAAUACAGAGGGUGCGAGCGUUAAUCGGAUUUACUGGGCGUAAAGCGUGCGUAGGCGGCUUUUUAAGUCGGAUGUGAAAUCCCUGAGCUUAACUUAGGAAUUGCAUUCGAUACUGGGAAGCUAGAGUAUGGGAGAGGAUGGUAGAAUUCCAGGUGUAGCGGUGAAAUGCGUAGAGAUCUGGAGG
rnacentral:rRNA from 1 species